rnacentral:rRNA from 1 species
GUGGGGAAUCUUGCGCAAUGGGCGAAAGCCUGACGCAGCCAUGCCGCGUGAAUGAUGAAGGUCUUAGGAUUGUAAAAUUCUUUCACCGGGGACGAUAAUGACGGUACCCGGAGAAGAAGCUCCGGCUAACUUCGUGCCAGCAGCCGCGGUAAUACGAAGGGGGCUAGCGUUGCUCGGAAUUACUGGGCGUAAAGGGCGCGUAGGCGGACAGCUUAGUCAGAGGUGAAAGCCCAGGGCUCAACCUUGGAAUUGCCUUUGAUACUGGCUGGCUUGAGUUUGGGAGAGGUGAGUGGAACUCCGAGUGUAGAGGUGAAAUUCGUAGAUAUUCGGAAGAACACCAGUGGCGAAGGCGACUCACUGGCCCAAUACUGACGCUGAGGCGCGAAAGCGUGGGGAGCAAACAGGAUUAGAUACCCUGGUAGUCC